CGUGGGCUUGUGACCCGAGUUGUGGCAAAAAUGUUACAUAAUAGUCAAUUUUGGUAUGUGGGUUUGGGCCAGUGCUGCUGUGGUCCAGCACUUCCUUCAACCCGGUUCAGAGUGCGUGCUUGUUAAAAGCGGGAGCGCACCGAAAAAAUUGGCUUAAUAGAGAAAGGCUGUAAGGUUUGUGGGGGGGGGGGAGGCUUCACAUCUUCAAUCGUUGUAAACAAAAUUCUUGAAAUAUUUUAAU
rnacentral:lncRNA from 1 species